rnacentral:rRNA from 1 species
AGUGAACGCUGGCGGUAGGCCUAACACAUGCAAGUCGAACGGCAGCACAGUAAGAGCUUGCUCUUACGGGUGGCGAGUGGCGGACGGGUGAGGAAUACAUCGGAACCUACUUUUUCGUGGGGGUUAACGUAGGGAAACUUACGCUAAUACCGCAUACGACCUACGGGUGAAAGCAUGGGAUCUUCGGACCUUGCGCGAAUGAAUGAGCCGAUGUUGGAUUAGCUAGUUGGCGGGGUAAUGGCCCACCAAGUGGCCGAUCCGUAGCCGGACUGAGAGAAUGAUCGGCGACACUGGAACUGAGACACGGUCCAGGCGCCUACGGGAGGGAGCAGUGGGGAAUAUUGGACAGUGGGCGCAAGCCUGGUCCAGCGAUCCCGCGUGGGAGACGAAGGCCUUCGGGUUGGAAAGCCCUUUUGUUGGGAGAGAAAAGCAUCAGGUUAAUACCACGCUGUUCUGACGGUACUCAAAGAAUAAGCACCGGCUAACUUCGUG